CUAUUCAGGAAUUGUCGGAGGCUGGCUUGCUGUAACACGAACAUUGGAGUGUAUAGGAUUCAUAUUUAUCCUAAAAGCUCUGAUAGUGUCUCUGGUGUAUGUUUGUGUGCCGCGGUUCGAUACGCCUGGUAUUUUGUACACACAAGCCGGACUUCACUUUGUGGCAGCGCUGCUUGUCCUAGUUGGUGACAUCAUUUUCGGAGUAUACAAAGCGCAGGAUGGUUACGUGAUAUCGUGGUCGCUGGUUUUGACCAUUCUAAUGAUAAUUCUUGAAAUAACGAGUGGAAUACUAGUGGUCCUACAUAGCCGCUGACAAAUUAUCUCAGUUUCAUUUGAACAAAAAUAGUUUGAUGCGCAAGGACAUCUUACUCUAGCG